rnacentral:rRNA from 1 species
CAGCAGCCACGGUAAUACAGAGGAUGCAAGCGUUAUCCGGAAUGAUUGGGUGUAAAGCGUCUGUAGGUGGCUUUUCAAGUCCGCCGUCAAAUCCCAAGGCUCAACCCUGGACAGGCGGUGGAAACUACCAAGCUGGAGUACAGUAGGGGCAGAGGGAAUUUCCGGUGGAGUGGUAAAAUGCGUUGAGAUCGGAAAGAACACCAACGGCGAAAGCACUCUGCUAGGCCGACAUUGACACUGAGAGAUGACAGCUAGGGGAGCAAAUGGGAUUAGAUACCCCCGUAGUCCCUGUCUCUUAUAC